ACCAUAGUAACCAUAUUUUUACUCUGGUAUUUGUAUUUACUAACACACAAUAACCACAACAUUUACUAUGGGUUUACCAUAGUAACCAUAGUUUUACUCUGGUAUUUGUAGUUACUAACACACAAUAACCACGACAUUUACUAUGGGUUUACCAUAGUAACCAUAGUUUUACUCUGGUAUUUGUAUUUACUAACACACAAUAACCACGACAUUUACUAUGGGUUUACCAUAGUAACCAUAGUUUUACUCUGGUAUUUGUAGUUACUAACACACAAUAACCACAACAUUUACUAUGGGUUUACCAUAGUAACCAUAGUUUUACUCUGGUAUUUGUAGUUACUAACACACAAUAACCACAACAUUUACUAUGGGUUUACCAUAGUAACCAUAGUUUUACUCUGGUAUUUGUAGUUACUAACACACAAUAACCACAACAUUUACUAUGGGUUUACCAUAGUAACCAUAGUUUUACUCUGGUAUUUGUAGUUACUAACACACAAUAACCACAACAUUUACUAUGGGUUUACCAUAGUAACCAUAGUUUUACUCUGGUAUUUGUAGUUACUAACACACAAUAACCACAACAUUUACUAUGGGUUUACCAUAGUAACCAUAGUUUUACUCUGGUAUUUGUAGUUACUAACACACAAUAACCACAACAUUUACUAUGGGUUUACCAUAGUAACCAUAGUUUUACUCUGGUAUUUGUAGUUACUAACACACAAUAACCACAACACUUACCAGGAUUUUACCACAGUAACUGUUUUUACUCUACACUAUUUGUAAAGCACAGUAACCACUAAGUUUGCCAUGCCUUUAAUAUCUUUUUGUGAUGUAAUUGUAAUUCAGUGUUUUUUCUGUCUUGCAGUUACGUCGGAUUACAUACUCCACAACAACCUGUAAUCCAGCAGAUCUUUAAAGAAGCCAUCUCUUGUCAAAUCUCUCUCUCUCUCUCUCUCUCUCUCUCUCUCGCUCUGCUAGAAUUAACAGGGAACUUCAACUCCACGCUCCCAAUGCGGAUAUUGAAGAAGCUGUCAAGGGGGCUGAACAAGUCCUUCAAAGGAUCAACCCCUCACAGGAAGGCCUGUCAUGAGAUUUGAAUUUGACCAUCUUGUGCAUUUAUGAAGAAGACCAAAAGCUGCAAAGGCAAACACUUCCAAUGGCAGAAACUGAGAGUUUGCAUGAUGGCAUUUUCUCAGACGUUGAAUCUGAUGUGUACAGAUGAACUCAGGAGCCUACUAGAGUUGCCAAGGAACUUGUGCUUGAACUGAAGACCAGAAACGCAAAGAAAAUCAGUCAAACCAGUCCUAAAGAAAUGAGGAAUGAACAUGGACUUCUUGUGCCCCAAAAGAAAAGACAGAAAGCUCCUAAAAUGAGCAAAUAAGCUGUGCAUCAUCUCUGGUGUUUGGGAAGGAAAUGACUGAAUAUGAUGAAGCCAGUUGAUGAAGAUAUCAAUUGAAUGGCCACCGAGUGCAUCACUGCUACCUGAACCCAUCAGUUAUCUUCUGUGAAGACUGCAUUCACAAACCGCUCUACUGCGACAGCUCAGAUGUUACGGCCUGUAAAAGUAAACAUCACAGCUAAACAACGAGAGCUAGUUGUGGUGGGAUUCUUUUGGCCAAUAUCCCCAACAAGAAUCAAUGACAUCUAGACCAGGUGGAGUGUGAGGAGGACCGUCAGAGACUCCAGCCAGCCGAGCCAUGGAUUGCUCUCACUGUUACCAUCAGGCAUGCGUUAUCACAGAACCUACACCAGCAGACAGUGAGACAAGUUCCUUUCACAGGCAAUCAGACUGAACUGAACUCAUACCAGUAAAACCAUACACACCCCACCAACCUCAUAUGCCCUGCACUCUUAUCAGUUAUGCUGACUGGACUCAAUAUUAUUAUGCACCCUGACAUUCUGUUUGCACUAAUUCAUACCGUGCUUUACUGCAGAGAUGUAUGUGUAUUGUGAUUAUUAUUGUUUUCAAUUCAUGCUCUUUGUAUAGCAUAAUUUUUAACAUAUAUUGUUAUCUACCUGAAUUGAGUCCCUUAUAUAUGUGUGUUGCAUAUAUAUAUAUAUUCAGAAUUUGUAUUUCAUAUAUAUUCAUGAAUUAAUUCAUUUGUCAUCCAUACUGUCACGCUGCAGUCUGCACCCAAGACUUUCAUCACCUGUAUACUUGUGUUCAUUGUAUUGUGACAAUAAAGAUAUUUGAUUUAAA